rnacentral:rRNA from 1 species
CCUACGGGAGGCAGCAGUGGGGAAUAUUGGACAAUGGGGGGAACCCUGAUCCAGCCAUGCCGCGUGUGUGAAGAAGGCCCUCGGGUUGUAAAGCACUUUCAGUGAGGAAGAACGCCUGGUGGUUAAUACCCAUCAGGAAAGACAUCACUCACAGAAGAAGCACCGGCUAACUCCGUGCCAGCAGCCGCGGUAAUACGGAGGGUGCGAGCGUUAAUCGGAAUUACUGGGCGUAAAGCGCGCGUAGGUGGCUUGAUAAGCCGGUUGUGAAAGCCCCGGGCUCAACCUGGGAACGGCAUCCGGAACUGUCAAGCUAGAGUGCAGGAGAGGAAGGUAGAAUUCCCGGUGUAGCAGUGAAAUGCGUAGAGAUCGGGAGGAAUACCAGUGGCGAAGGCGGCCUUCUGGACUGACACUGACACUGAGGUGCGAAAGCGUGGGUAGCAAACAGGAUUAGAUACCCUAGUAGUC